rnacentral:rRNA from 1 species
UACGUAGGUGGCAAGCGUUGCCCGGAAUCAUUGGGCGUAAAGCGCGCGUAGGCGGCCCGAUAAGUCCGCUGUGAAAGUCCAGGGCUCAACCCUGGAAAGCCGGUGGAUACUGUCGGGCUAGAGUCCGGAAGAGGCGAGUGGAAUUCCAGGUGUAGCGGUGAAAUGCGUAGAUAUCUGGAGGAACACCGGUGGCGAAGGCGGCAUCCUGGACCGGUAUUGACACUGAGGCGCGAAAGCCAGGGGAGCAAACGGG